rnacentral:rRNA from 1 species
AUACGAAAGGUGCAAGCGUUGUUCGGAUUUACUGGGCGUAAAGAGAGUGUAGGUGGUUUAUUAAGUCGGAUGUGAAAUCCCGGGGCUCAACCUCGGAACUGCAUUCGAUACUGAUAGGCUAGAGUUUGGGAGGGGUAAGCGGAAUUCCGUGUGUAGCAGUGAAAUGCGUAGAUAUACGGAGGAACACCUGAGGCGAAGGCGGCUUACUGGACCAAUACUGACACUGAGACUCGAAAGCGUGGGUAGCAAACAGAAUUAGAAACCCUAGUAGUCC